GGUGGGUCCAGUGAGAUCCUAUAAAACCAGAAAGAUGUGCUGCUUUCAUAACCAAGGGGAAAGGUGGUAAGGCAGCAUUACUCUCGCACAACGCUAUAAUUUGUCCUAGUCACACAGGAACAUAGAAACAGGAACUACUAGGUCCGUUCUACUAGAUACAGGAUUUCUCUAACCUUACAAAUCUUGACAGAUCUACACUCCAAACAUGAACAACAACGCUUCUCAGCCUGGUGAGUAGCAUAGGCUAUACACUGUAGGGACAAGACAGACAUUAGAACUAAUUUUAAGUAUUUGAUUUAAGCCAUUGUGUGUCUUAGGUCCUCCCCAAAAUUGACAUUUUCAUGUUUUGUUAUUUAUGUUACAAAUCAUUGCCGUUUGGGGUUUCUUUUCUAGACACCAUAAAAUUGCGCUCUCUUUUCAAGAGCAGAGUGAAUCCGGAAAAAAAGCAAUUAGGAGAAUUGUCCACAUCAACAUGAGACCUUUCAAAACUAACCAUAGUGUGCUUGUGAAAUUCUCUACCAGGGCAGAAUGGAGUUGGGAAGAGUGCAGCAGGAGGCAUCACCUGUCUCGCUGAGAAGCCACUGGAACCUAUCGGUCCCUUUUCGGGUGUCGGCUCUACUGUUGGCGCGAUCGCAGGACGAACAGUUGGAGGAGUAUUGGGAGGAAUAGUAGGAGGAGCUGUGGGAUCUGCAGUUGAUUCUGCAUACCGCCAAUCUUACUAUGAGAAAAAUAAAUGUCCAGAAUGAAUGAAUCAGUUGUUAAACUAUCAUACCAGAUAACCUUUAUAUGGCUUCUACCUUGAUUUGUUAUUGCAUAAAUACUAUGUAUUAUAAAUGUUUCUGUAAUUCUUUGUAUUGGUUCAAUCUAACUGAAGUGUCUGUAUGCUGAGAGACAGUGAGUCCAUGCCUUUACAAACAUUGAGUGUAUGACUUUUGGCUCUUUGCCACCUGGAACACAAUGGUUUCAGUUUUACAUCCUCCUCAUAACUCACAUUUAACUAUGUUUUAAUGAAAUCUGAACAUAUCAGUUCAUGCCUUAAGGAUAGAAUCCUUAAUCGAAACAAUAACAAAGCCGUCACCCCUCUGUUUAGGUAAAGAGCUGGGAAACGGGCCUGAAGAAAGAUAACCAUUCUCAGAUUCAUAGAUCUAUGCCUACAAGGACUGACCAUCCAUGAUAUCAACAUUAUAGUUUUAACCAUGUUUUGAGGCUAUGCAGUGUUUGUUUAUGUUCACAUUGUUUACAAACAUUGGAGUAAUGUUAUAAUUAUACACAUAGGAUGUUAUUCUUUUUCUCUUUCUCUCUUGUUUUAGAUAAUGGGUGUUGGGUUGUAAGAUACAAGAAAGAAACAAAACAUACUGUAUCAUUAAAUAAUGGACCAAUAUUGGCUGGUUUUGUGACUAGAGAAGCAGUGUGACUACUAUUGGUGGGUGUUUUGUUAUUUUACUAAAAGCAGAGCAUAUGAGAUCAUACUGGAGAUAUGCAUUUAGUUGGUUACGAAUGAAAACACUGUCACUCUGUGGUAGGAACCUGAUACAACAAUACCAGGGUCAGACAAUCAAAUAGCAAUGUAGAUAGUUUUACAGGAGUUCUGAUGAUGGAGAGAACUCAACGUUUGACUGCUUUAGGUUUGAUUUAUAUCUAAACCACACUGAAACAGACUUUCAUCUCUAAGCAGGACUUCCAUAUUUACAUAUUUUAAGCUUGCUGUAUUGUAGACUGUACAAUGUAAAGUGUCAUUAAAGCUGACCAAAUAAUAUGAAUAUACCUGCAUUUAGUUUCAUAUUUUUCAUACCAUACUUCACAAAUAUGAUUAUUAUAUGAAUAAACCUGUAUUUAUUUUGCGUCUGAAUACUGUACCUGACCUGUAAUCCCCCAACUAAAAGAACUACAAAC
rnacentral:lncRNA from 1 species